rnacentral:lncRNA from 13 species
AUGAGUUCCUUCAGCCACUCUCUGUCCUUGGCCACGUGUUGUGCCUCGCCCCCACGAGAGGUUCAUCUUGGCCAGCUCGUCCGUCAUAGUUCUGCGCCAAGUAGUUUUAGGUCUUCCAGGUUCUCUUUUCCCUGGCGGUCCACCUUAGGGCAAAUUUGGGAUGCUAUCCUGCUCCAUCCGGAAAACAUGGCCAAGCGAACGCAUUCUUCUUAUCUUGAUUUUGUUUCCGAGUGGGUGUACUCAGGUUCUCUGGAACAUGGAGAAGGGAAGUCCUGAGAUGAGUGGAGUGGCCUUCUCUGAUCCCAGGCUUGUGGCCAACGGGUUUCAAAUCCGACUCACUCCAGGUAGGGUAGAAUAUGAAAUUAAUAGAUCGCGCCAUUGUGGUAGGUAAAUUGACAAAUGUAAUCUUGAGUUGAAAAAGACAAAUGUAAAACCUUCACAACAUUAGGGGACCCAGCACUGAUCCCUAAGGAACACCUUUUGUUUGGAUGUUUGGUGAGGAGAUCGACCCUCUCCGUGUUAUCUGGCUAAGCGAUCGACAAGAGCGGAUGCAAAUAAUUUGUUUGAGCAAAACAAACUGAGUUUGAACCUUUUGAGGGUUUCCAGACAGUAAUUAGCUUGAAGAAACAUGACUUUUCUUUGCACAAGCUGACAUUUUUAGCAAAUCCCCUUAUUAACACUUAUGAUGAUGACAUUGUGAGGAUAAAUUGCUUUAGAGGAAAACAUGUCAGCAUUUCCCUGGUCCUGGUGUUGCAGUUGAACAAGCAGUGAAAGUUCAUUGGCUUGUUAAAAAGGAUUUAAGCACUAGAAUAUUUCUCGCUCGUUCUCCUAGUAUGGUACUUUCAUCCAACUUACCUUCUUUAGCUGGUAAAUAAGACGGUACAGUUUACAGCCCACCCGUUCCUUCCGAGAGAAAAUAGGCCUUUAUUAUCGUUUGAUUCAAGCUGUUUAAAGGUCUCAAGGAUUGUCCAAUUCGAUUUAACAAAGGUUGGGCCCAUUGGAUCAUUAAUGUCAUAGUUCACAAAUAAUUUAGAAAUGUCAAACAUAAGAGCUGGAGUAACAGGAUUAUGGUCAAUUAUUUCUGACAGAGUUGCUAUGUCAGUAUUGGAUUAGCAGUGGGUGAGACAGAAAACAUAAAAUGUUCCUCCAAAAUGCUUCCACCAUACGCAACAUGUUAGAGUUGAUGAAGGGAUUUUUGUAUUCUCACAAGAAUCUUGUCUAGGUGCUGACUUGGGACCAAAUUCCCCCUGGUGAAAAGCGCUAAAUAGAUCCACCCCAUUAUUAUGAGUCGUAGUUGUAAUCCCUUGCCAUCAAUUACGGAAGGGGAAAAUUCAAGUUAAGAUUCAAAGGCCACAGAUUUGCCAUGUGUAUUAGCUUUUUGAUAGCGUUAUUUUUGGUCAAUAUGUGUGUACCGGUAUUCUUUUAUCUGGGCUUUAUUUGUAAAUCGUGAGGUGGCAAAAUUGAUCGUGAGUGGGGGGUGAACCGGGGGGGUUCUGAGGUACUGGAACACAUGAAAAAAAAGUGUCAAACACAAGAUAGCAGCACAAACAGCCAGGUAGCCUACUAUAUAGUUGUGCUGAAAUGGACAGCGCUCUCCGGUGCUGAUUUAAAAGCCAAUUUAUGCUUGAUCCGAAAAUGUGGUCGGAAGCUCUGUAUGGAGGGUGUGACGCAAUUGCGGCGCAUCCGGAGGCAUGCAGAGGCCAAAAUAAGUUCUGUACUCCAUCGCCGUGUGCCUCCACAAAUUGUGUAACAAUGUAGAGAGCUCCGUAUAGCUGUGCAUAUCAAGAAGCUGAUUAAACAGCAUAAUCAUUACACAGGUGCACCUUGUGCUGGAGACAAUAAAAGGCCACUCUAAAAUGUG